UGUGGAAUGCCCUCCCAUCAGAUGUCAAAGAGAUAAACAACUACCUGACAUUUAGAAGACAUCUUCAGGGAAGUUUUUAAAAGUUUCCCUAAACAGGGCUGCCUUCAGAUGCCUUCUAAAAAUCUGGUAGUUGUUGUUCUCUUUAACAUCUGGUGAGAGGGCAUUCCACA